rnacentral:rRNA from 1 species
GUCUACAGUCAUGCCACAUUGAACAAGCCUGAUGUCUGAUCUCGGAAGCUAAGCAGUGUCAGGCCUGGUUAGUACUUGGAUGGGAGACCACUUAAGAAGACCAGGUGCUGUAGGUA